UGGCUCAGAUUGAACGCUGGCGGCAGGCCUAACACAUGCAAGUCGAACGGUAACAGGAAGCAGCUUGCUGCUUCGCUGACGAGUGGCGGACGGGUGAGUAAUGUCUGGGAAGCUGCCUGAUGGAGGGGGAUAACUACUGGAAACGGUAGCUAAUACCGCAUAAUGUCGCAAGACCAAAGAGGGGGACCUUCGGGCCUCUUGCCAUCGGAUGUGCCCAGAUGGGAUUAGCUUGUUGGUGGGGUAACGGCUCACCAAGGCGACGAUCCCUAGCUGGUCUGAGAGGAUGACCAGCCACACUGGAACUGAGACACGGUCCAGACUCCUACGGGAGGCAGCAGUGGGGAAUAUUGCACAAUGGGCGCAAGCCUGAUGCAGCCAUGCCGCGUGUAUGAAGAAGGCCUUCGGGUUGUAAAGUACUUUCAGCGGGGAGGAAGGGAGUAAAGUUAAUACCUUUGCUCAUUGACGUUACCCGCAGAAGAAGCACCGGCUAACUCCGCGCCAGCAGCCGCGGUAAUACGGAGGGUGCAAGCGUUAAUCGGAAUUACUGGGCGUAAAGCGCACGCAGGCGGUUUGUUAAGUCAGAUGUGAAAUCCCCGGGCUCAACCUGGGAACUGCAUCUGAUACUGGCAAGCUUGAGUCUCGUAGAGGGGGGUAGAAUUCCAGGUGUAGCGGUGAAAUGCGUAGAGAUCUGGAGGAAUACCGGUGGCGAAGGCGGCCCCCUGGACGAAGACUGACGCUCAG
rnacentral:rRNA from 1 species